CGCGCAGGCGGUCGAUUUAGUCGCGUGUGAAAGCCCCCGGCUCAACUGGGGAGGGUCACGCGAUACUGAUCGACUCGAAGGCAGGAGAGGGUAGUGGAAUUCCCGGUGUAGUGGUGAAAUGUGUAGAUAUCGGGAGGAACACCAGUGGCGAAGGCGACUACCUGGCCUGUUCUUGACGCUGAGGCGCGAAAGCUAGGGAGCAAACG
rnacentral:rRNA from 1 species